UUCCAGCCUGGCCGCCAGGCCGCCCGCGGGGUGGGGCGGGGUGGGCCGGGGGGCUCGUCGGGGCCGGGAGGGCCGCGCAGCCGGCGCCUGUGGCAGCUGUCAGCGCGCCGGCCGCCGGCGGGCCUGCAUCUCGAGCCGGAGCUCGAGCCCGCCGUUCCGCGGGGUGGGGGCGCGGGCCGGCCCGGAGCCCCGCGCUCUCCAUCCUUUCCCCGGCUCCGCACUUUGUCCCCGGGCCUCGCUUUCGAGGAGCGGCCCCCCCUGCCCCGCGGUGGCUUUAGGCCUGGAGUACGGACGGGAGAGGGCUUUCUCUUUGCUGCUUUUUCUUUCUUCUUAAAUUAAGCCUUCAACUUAAGUUUUUGAAAUUGUACCCACGCGGCCUCGUGAUCCGGCUUGUGCAAGAUUUUUUGUGCGUUUUCCCCGGAUCUCCGCGGGGGCUCUUGUGUUUUUCUCCUCCGGAGUGGAGACUUGAGGCCGGUGAUGAACUGACAAGAUUGUGAGGCACGUAACCAAGAACGAAUUUCCAGACGUAGGGGAAGGGGAAGAAAAAGUUACCUUGGAGGAGCUGAUGCCUGCCUUCCCCGGCACGCACAGGUUUGAAAUGCUGACGAUUUAGAAGGAGAUCGGUAUUUGUUUUUAAAUAAACAUUUAAAAAAUACGAAGGUAUACUUAAAGUUUUUAUGUUGUAUCUUAGGAACAGGAGACUGAUGUUUUAAAGAAGACGCGUUCUCUUUUCUAAUCGUUGAAGGUUCCUUGCACAAGCUCAGAGUCUUUUAGUUGUAUGACUUAUUUACUUUUCUCUUUUAUGGAUGCCAGAUGAGUCCUUUUUGAAGCUUCAUUGUAAAAAAGAAGUAGAUUUCUGAAUCACGCUUUCUUUAGUGUAUGGAAAGCUUCAAGACUGAAGGCCACUAUAUUACUGAGUUUCAUCAGCCCUUUUCCUUUGGAAGGACUGGAUUUCUUAGUUUCUCUUUGCUUGCUUGCUUCCGUAUGGGAGGAAGUGCCCAGGAAUUCUGGAAAGCUUUGGAGAAGUACUCCAGCUACACUGAAUACAGCAUUAUUCGAACGGAGUCCUACUUUUUUAUUUUUAUUUUUUGAGAUAUUUAAAAACAUCGGUGGGGUAAAAAAUUUACUGUGGGGAUCUGCCAUAUCCUUUUCAUAUAUUAUUUAAAUACCAUUUUUUGAGCACUUGAUGGGUACUCACUAAUAUUAUCAGAUGUUUAUUUUUCACGUCUGGUUCUAAUGUGGUAUAAGAAACACCCAAUAGAGACAAGCGCAAAGUCUGUGAUAGGUAUUGAGCCAUGUAAAAAAUGGCUGUAUAUAGUUAAUUUAGAACUGGCAGCCCAGGCCUUUUUGUAUCAUUUACUGAAAUCAUUGAAAUGUAAUGAUCUAUAUGAAGAGAUUCUGUUAAUGAUGACAGUUGAAAAUUGAAACCUGAAACUUUUUAAGUGUUAGGUAUUUUUAAAAAAUUCAUUUAAAAAAUUUCCUAUACUGGUAUUUAGAACGCUUUUUAACAAAGGAGUUCUUAAAUUGCGUUGCACAUUGAGGGGGAAAUUGCUUCCUUGGGAAUUUCUACAAGUGGAAGCACUUCGAGGAUGGUUUUAAACAAUUGUACUGUGUGGUUGGCAGGUUGGCGUAUUUAUUAGGCUCUUAGUGUUUUCGUAGAGAACAAGUAUGUGGUUGGUUAACAGCUGCAUUUGAAGUAUGUUGUUUCCGCUUCUUAAUUUACAUUUACAAUUCUGUUUUUAAUAGAAUUUGAUACUUGAAUUUUCUAACAUCUGCCUUUUGAUUGCAUGUAUAUGCAAUAGCACAUCAGUGAGAUAUUUUAUUAACUUAAAGCUGUGAGUGUUGGUAUGUUCUUGAAGGCAUUAUCGUACCUCCUCAUUAAACUUAUAGUGGUAGUUGGGAAUGAUGCACACCUUUAAUGACCGUGUUCUAUAUAUUGAUGAUUAUGGUUAUUGUAUUAUAGCUUUGAAUCUAUGGUACAUUACUUCCUAGGUUAGUACUAAUGCAGUACAUUAGAUCUUCCUUGGAAAGAUUAACUUGAUCAGAAUCAAUUCUUGAUGUGAUUAUCUGGCAAUAGGAUAAUCACAGUGGCCAAGUCAAGAUGGGUUUUGAGGAGGAACUGAAGCUACAAGCAACCUGCUGUGGGCUAAUGUUUUUGUUGUAUUGCUUUAACUGUCCUUCUCUGUAAAGCAUAGAAACAAGUAUUUCAUAACCUUUGUAGCCUCGAUAUAUGAGAGCUUUUAAAUAGUGUGAUGAGGAGGGGCUGUUAGAACUCAGUUAAUCUGGCACUAGGCAAGAGUGACUAGAGCAUGUUUUAAGAGUUGGACUUAAAUUGUAGUUGCAAGCCAGGAUUUUAUUGGACAUUGGAAUAGUGAGUUCUUAUGUUGAUUUUUAUAAUGUAAUUUCUUUAAAGAAGUUACACUAAAUGAGAAUUGCUUUUAACUUGAUGACAGACUGUUCCAAAGACAGAAAAGAGAAUAAAAAGCAAAUCUUGAGUUGGUGCUUUGUCAUUUCACGUAGAACUCUUAGGGUUAUAGUUAUUCUUAUUUAACCUCCAUACUUUUCUGGGCCACUUCCUUUCAGGCUAUCAAGUACUUUAUUGAAAGAAACAAUCCUUACAAGGCUAAAGAGAACAAAGAAACAGCAUAUUGUGGUAAGGAGGUAGCUCUUGAAAUCACAAAAAAGUAGAUGGUAGUGAGAUAUAUAGGAUUUGAGAAUAUCUUGUCAUUUAUAACUUACACAGUCUUUGGAGAAUUGCUUUGACAUUUUGUCUGCAAUUAUAUGUGCAACAGUGGCUGGAACAUAAAAACCUCAGUUGGCAUUUGCUCUGAGUAGUUAUUUGAGUGUAAGUGACUUAUUUUGGUAACCUAAAAUCUGAAAUAGGAUUUGGAGGCAGCUGACCAAAUAUCCUUGUAAUAGGCUUUUUUUUUUCUUGAUUUUGACUCUUUUCGCUCUUUCUCUUAACAUAAGUCAAAGUAAUAACAAGAACAGAGUUACAUAAAUUUAAAAAUACCCAAUGUUGGGGUUGUAGGAAUUUUAGUUUUGAAUUUUUGAGAUUAAUCUUAGGUGACUAGUCAGGUUUUUUUUCUUUUUAAGAUUUCAUUUAUUUAUUUGAGAGAGAGAGACACAGCGAGAGAGGGAACACAAGCAGGGGGAGUGGGAGAGGGAGAAGCAAAGCAGGCCUCCUGCUGAGCAGGGAGCCCGAUGCGGGGCUCGAUCCCAGGACCCUGGGAUCAUGACCUGAGCCAAAGGCAGACUCUUUUUUUUUUUUAAGAUUUUAUUUAUUUAUUUGACAGAGAGAGACAUAGUGAGAGCAGGAACACAAGCAGGGGGAGUGGGAGAGGGAGAAGCAGGCUUCCCGCGGAGCAGGGAGCCCGAUGUGGGACUCGAUCCCAGGACCCUGGGAUCACGACCUGAGCCAAAGGCAGACAAUUAACGAUUGAGCCACCCAGGCGCCCCCAUGACUAGUCCGUUAAAGUUGUCAUGUAUUGUUAGAGGGCAUUCAUUCAUUCCUAGAUGUAAACCUUAUUAGGUAGAUAGUCCUGUCUAAUAGACAUAUAAUGUGCCAAAUAAAUAAAAUCUUUUUUUUAAUAAAGAUUUUAUUUAUAUGUUUGUUAGAGAUAGAGCGAGAGCACAAGCAGGGGGAGCUGCAGAGGCAGAGGGAGAAGCAGGCUCCCCGCUGAGCAAGGAGCCCGAUGUGGGCCUAGAUACCAGGACCCUGGGAUCAUGACCUGAGCUGAAGGCAGACGGUUAACCAACUGAGCCACCCAGGCGUCCCAAUAAAAUCUU